GAUGAAGAACGUAGCGAAAUGCGAUAAGUAAUGCGAAUUGCAGAAUCCGUGAGUCAUCGAAUCUUUGAACGCACAUUGCGCCCCUUGGUAUCCCGAGGGGCAUGCCUGUUCGAGCGUCAUUUCACCACUCAAGCCUGGCUUGGUGUUGGGCGACGUCCCCUUUAGGGACGCGCCUCGAAACGCUCGGCGGCGUGGCACCGGCUUUAAGCGUAGCAGAAUCUUUCGCUUUGGAAGUCGGGGCCCCGCCUGCCGGAAUACCUACUCGUAAGGUUGACCUCGGAUCAGGCAGGGAUACCCGCUGAACUUAAGCAUAUCAAUAAGCGGAGGA
rnacentral:misc_RNA from 1 species